CAGAGAACAGUGGACACACAGUUCAACAUGAUGGACUAUAGGACAGGACUGCUGCUGUUAACUAUCUGCUGGGCAGGUGUUGAUGGUCAGACUCUGACAGAAUCUGAACCAGUGGUUAAAAGGCCUGGAGAAUCUCACAGAUUGACCUGUACAGCAUCUGGAUUUACUUUUAGUAGCUACUGGAUGGCACUGGGUCAGACAGGCUCCUGGAAAAGGACUGGAGUGGAUGGCGAUUAUCGAAUGAUAACAGUGACCGAAUAUCUACUACUCAGUCAGUUAAAGGCCGGUUCACCAUCUCCAGAGACAACAACAGACAGCAGGUGUAUCUGCAGAUGAACAGUCUGAAGACUGAAGACUCUGCUGUUUAUUAUUGUGCUCGAGACUCACAGUGACUGGAGCUGGUUGAGCAGCUGUACAAAAUCCUACAGUUCU